rnacentral:tRNA from 1 species
UUAUAAUAGCUUAAAAAGAGCAUAAUAUUGAAGAUAUUAAAGUAGAUGAUAAUCUUUAUAAUAU